GAAAAAGAAGAAGAGGCUGACCACACCCACCAUUUUGAUUUAAAAUACUUUGUACUUACAACACAACAUAUGAGUUUUCAACAUGGCUUGCCCUAAUGCACCGAUAAAAGUUCACUCAUUUUUGGGAAGAUUAGAAAAAAAUUUAGAGCUUGAAAAGGUUCAAUAUUGGGUAAUGUCAAACGGUUGUACAGCCGGAUUUUUUUUCGAUGCAGAAAAAGCAGGCGUUGUGCUUUUCAAGUUCUCGAUACCGGAUGAAAUGCUAACUUGUGGUUCUGUCCUUCGAGUGAGUUAUAUCUAUUUUCCUCUUUGAGACACCUAUAGCCUCCGUUAUAAAUGUAUGCGAUGACUAUAGCUUUCUUAAGCUGAUAAACCGCUGAGUCCGCCGGGUCUAAUAAAUAAAUUAUUUCAUUAAUGAUAAAGUUGCUGAAUCCAGCGAUUAGCCCCAUUAAAAAAAAAAAAAAAAAAAAAAGAUAAAUAAAGUUGUGAGUCAGGCGGCUAUAAAAAUAAAUAAAAUAAAUCGCCGGAGUCCGGCGACAUAAAUCUGUUUCAAUAAUAAGUUCAUAGUUAAUUGAUGUGUAGACAUAAUAUGGUGUAUAGAUAUAAGGUUGAUGCGUAUUUAGGUUAAAGAUAUGUAAGAUUUCAUACGUUCUGCACUUACGUAAGCUUACAUAUGGACUGCACUCAAUCAUAUUAUGUUGAGACAUGUACACAUGGACUGCAAUUAGAUUUUUAAAAAAUCAUAUAUUGAGUCAUGUACACAUAUGGACUACACUUAGAUAAAAAAAAAUCAUAUUAUGUUGAGUCAUGUACACAUAUGGACUACACUUAGAUAAAAAAAAAAUCAUAUUAUGUUGAGACAUGUACACAUGGACUGCAAUUAGAUUUUUAAAAAAUCAUAUAUUGAGUCAUGUACACAUAUGGACUACACUUAGAUAAAAAAAAAAUCAUAUUAUGUUGAGUCAUGUACACUUAUGGACAGCACUUAGAUAAAAAAAAAUCAUGUUGAGUCAUGUACACAUGGACAGCACUUAGAUAAAAAAAAAAUCAUGUUGAGUCAUGUACACAUGGACAGCACUUAGAUAAAAAAAAAAUCAUGUUGAGUCAUGUACACAUGGACAGCACUUAGAUAAAAAAAAAAAUCAUAUUAUGUUGAGAUAUGUACACCAAUGAUAACUGCACUUAGAUCAAGUAAUCAUAUUAUGUUGAGACAUGUACACAUAUGGACUACACUUAGAUAAAAAAUCAUUAUGUUGAGUCAUGUACACAUAUGGACUGCACUUAGAUAAAAAAAAAAAAAAAAAAUCAUAUUAUGUUGAGAUAUGUACACCAAAGAUAACUGCACUUAGAUCUAGUGAUGCACCAAAAUGAAAAUUCUUGGCUGAAGCUGAAACCGAAUAUAAUGAACAACUUGGCCAAAUACCGAACACGUUUUUUCGCGUUUUUUCCAUUUAUUUUACCAUUUUUUUCACCAUUGCAUGAAUUAAAUAGUCAAAAUUUUACUAUUUUGUCUUGCUUUUCAAAGAAAAAAAAAAAUCAAUUACAAAAAAAAAAAAUCAAUUACAACAACUACAAUUUCAAAAUAUUUAUUUAACACUGAACAUUUUUUUCCAUUCCAGUAGGUAUAGGCUACAAGGCACAAUAUAACUUUAAAUAAAUAAAUUAGUAAAAUAAAAAUAUUUUGACGUGGUCAUCUUUGAGCCCCCCUUGAAUAGCUGAUGUUAGGCCUAUAACUGACUGCUGAAAGAAUGUAACACUCUGUAGCCUAAAACAAAAAAAGUGCAUUAAAACGUGCAUUGACAAGAGUGCAAAAAAAGGUUAAAUUCGGUUAUAUACGGCUGAUUAUAUUCGGGAUAUAUACCGCUCGUGUCCCUGUACACCUCGCGGAGUAUUAUAGUAGAUAUAGUAUAGUUAGAUACGUUGUUAAUGUGAUGUUCCCUUAAAUAAAUACGUCUUUAGCUGCUUCCGUACACUACUCCCUUAUGUCUCACGAUGUGACAGAAUACUCUGGAAGAGAAACAAAACAAACGCACGUAUCCACAGUAAACAAUGUCACGGUUGUCAACAUCCGAAGAGCAUGCGCUCAUGCACGUAGUUCGUGCAUGUGCGCGCCCCCUCAUCGCUCCGAGCGUGCUGCCGGAACAGGAGGUUGUGAAAUUCGCGCAUCUCACUCUGGUUGCUAGGCUAUUUAGCACGUCAUCAAACACGUCAUUGUUCGGUCAAAUUUAUUCGGCCUUUUCACUUAUAAUUUCAGUUGCCGAACAUUUGGUGCAUCCCUCCUUAGAUCAAGUAAUCAUAUUAUGUUGAGUCAUGUACACAUAUGGCCAACACUUAGAUCCAUACGUUGUUCUGUACAUAUGGUCAGCACUUUGAGACGUACGAUCAUUGUGCAUUCUACACGCACAUAAACGCAUAUGGCCUUGUCUAUAAAAGUCAGACACUCAGUUUGGAAAAUCGGCAAAGGAUCGAAAGAAGUUCCAGACUCUACUCUUCAAAACUUCCAGACACCAUAGAUUUAUCAGCAGGUUCGAGUGCGGACGAGGCCGCCGGAUGAUGAGGACUCGCUCGAGCUUCACAUGGUGCGGCUGGAACUGGAGGAUGUGGAGAAGCAGAUCCGCGGCCUACUCGACAAGCAGGCCCAGCUGCUGGAACGACAAACUGCGCUGGAAACAUCUUGUGCCUCUGCCCACAUUUCCAAGGUAAGCACACAGCGUGGUAUUUCCACUCCCAGCCCCUCUACGCCGUGUGUUUCUCUGUGCAGGGACCGUGCACCUAGGACUUUCUCAGCCGUGGUCUCCGUCACGCCGGCGCCAACACACCUCGGGCCUUGGGUGAACCAGCGGCGGAAGGCGCUGGCUGGACCCUCUCCACCUCCGGUGUUCGAGAUUCCAACCAGGAACCGCUUCGCCCCUCUCCGUCAGACCAGACCCAACGCUGUGAUCGUCGGGGACUCCAUUGUGCGGAACGUCCGUGUAGCCUCAUCUAAAGGUAAGGUGCGCACACACUGUUUUUCUGGUGCUUGUGUCCUUGAUGUCGCUGCGCAGGUAUCCGGGAUCCUGAAGAAGGACGAGCGCAUUGGAGCGGUUGUGCUGCACGCGGGGACGAAUGACACCAGGCUGCAGCAGACGGAGGUUCUGAAGAGGGACUUCUCCAGCCUGAUCGAGACGGUACGAGGCAGAUCAUCGUCUCUGGACCUCUUCCCACAUACAGACGUGGAGCAGAAAAGUCGUUUCGUCCUGAUGGCCUGCACCCCAGCAGCCUUGGAGCGGAACUGCUGUCAGACAACAUCUCCAAGGCGCUACACACCAAGUGACUGCCUACCAUAAUUUACCCAAGGAUCAUGGCCUGGUUCUCCAGCAGCAAGAAGCUGUCAAGCAAAACCUUCGGGCUUUACCAAGUUGCUGUAAGAAGGCCAAACAAAAAACUGUCAGGAAACGUAAAAUGAGAGUGAUGGCAGCUGAAAAAUGAAGGUAAUUGAGUUCAAAUCCAAGACAAUCCAGUGCUGUGAUUCCUUGGGUCAGAGACAUGAUGAUAUCUGCCACAUAUUUGUCAUGAUUCCCCCUUGAAGCAGCGUGCUCUAAGCGCAAAUGCGCGAGCACCUGCUUUUCUAUUGUUGACAGUAGUGACAUCUGGACAAGUGUGUUUUGUUUAUGUUUUUGUUUACUGAUACGGCCAACCAAUUUCUGCUCAAGCCCAAGUCUACUGAUAUGGCCAACCAAGUUCUGCUCAUGCCUGAGUCUACUGAUAUGGCCGACCAAGUUCUGCUCACGCCUGAGUCUACUGAUACGGCCGACCAAGUUCUGCUCAUGCCCAAGUCUAACGACACGGCCGACCACGUUCUGUUCAAGCCCGAGUCUACCGACCCAGUCGCCCAAGUUCAGCCCACGCCCAAGUCUACCGACCUGGUCACCCAAGUUCAUCCCAUGCCCAAGACUACCGACACAACCACCCAAGUUCUGCCAAAGCCCAAGUCUGCUGACACGGACAACCAAGCUCUGCUUACAUUCCAGUCGGCUGACAUGACCAGCGAAGUACAGCUUGCAGGCUCUGCUGAGUACAUCGCUCUGCCUUCCAGUUCAGCCAGGGACGUCGCUCCGCUUUCAUGCUCCGACGAGGACGUCGCCCUGCUUCCCUGCUCUGCUGAGUACAGCGCUCUGUUUUCCUGUUCAGCCGAGGACGUCGCUCUGCCUUCCAGUUCAGCCGGGGACGUUGCGUUGCUUUCAUGCUCCGACGAGGACGUCGCCCUGCUUCCCUGCUCUGCUGAGUACAGCGCUCUGUUUCCCUGUUCAGCCGAGGACGUUGCUCUGCUUCCCUGCUCUGCUGAGUACAGCGCUCUGUUUCCCUGUUCAGCCGAGGACGUCGCUCUGCCUUCAUGCUCCGCCGAGGACUUCGCUCAGCCUGUCUGCCCGGCUGUGGUCGUUACUCUGCCUCCCUGUUCAGCCAGGGACGUCGCUCCGCUGUCCUGCUCCGCCGAGGACGUCGCUCCACCGUUCUGCUCCGCCGAGGACGUCACUCAGUCUGUCUGCCCGGCUGUGGUCGUUACUCUGCCUCCCUGUUCAGCCAGGGACGUCGCUCCGCUUCCCUGCGCCGCCAGGAACACCGUGCGGUUUCCUAACUCUGCUUGGGACAUUCAGCCCAGGGGGCCGGGGCGCC